rnacentral:misc_RNA from 1 species
GAUGAAGAACGUAGCGAAAUGCGAUACGUAAUGUGAAUUGCAGAAUUCAGUGAAUCAUCGAGUCUUUGAACGCACAUUGCGCCCCCUGGUAUUCCGGGGGGCAUGCCUGUCCGAGCGUCAUUGCUGCCCUCAAGCACGGCUUGUGUGUUGGGCCUCCGUCCUCCUCCCGGGGGACGGGCCCGAAAGGCAGCGGCGGCACCGCGUCCGGUCCUCGAGCGUAUGGGGCUUCGUCACCCGCUCUUGUAGGCCCGGCCGGCGCUUGCCGACACAUCAAUCUUUUUUCCAGGUUGACCUCGGAUCAGGUAGGGAUACCCGCUGAACUUACGCAUAUCAAUAAGCGGAGGA